UACACUCCUACGGGAGGCAGCAGUGGGGAAUUUUGGACAAUGGGCGAAAGCCUGAUCCAGCAAUGCCGCGUGAGUGAAGAAGGCCUUCGGGUUGUAAAGCUCUUUUGUCAGGGAAGAAACGGUGAAAGCUAAUAUCUUUUGCUAAUGACGGUACCUGAAGAAUAAGCACCGGCUAACUACGUGCCAGCAGCCGCGGUAAUACGUAGGGUGCAAGCGUUAAUCGGAAUUACUGGGCGUAAAGCGUGCGCAGGCGGUUUUGUAAGUCUGAUGUGAAAUCCCCGGGCUCAACCUGGGAAUUGCAUUGGAGACUGCAAGGCUAGAAUCUGGCAGAGGGGGGUAGAAUUCCACGUGUAGCAGUGAAAUGCGUAGAUAUGUGGAGGAACACCGAUGGCGAAGGCAGCCCCCUGGGUCAAGAUUGACGCUCAUGCACGAAAGCGUGGGGAGCAAACAGGAUUAGAAACCCGUGUAGUCCC
rnacentral:rRNA from 1 species